GAUGAAGAACGCAGCGAAAUGCGAUAAUUAAUGUGAAUUGCAGAAUUCAGUGAAUCAUCGAGUCUUUGAACGCACAUUGCGCCUCAUGGUAUUCCGUGAGGCAUGCCUGUCUGAGCGUCAGCAACACCACUCAAGCAAUACUUUAUUAGUGCAUUGUCUUGGACUGUAUCAAGGAAGCAGUUGGUUUGUCCAACCGCCCCCUGAAAAACUAUUGAUGGUCAGGUUGUUGCCUAAUACCAAAUGUUGUAUGAUUUCGGUCGUUCGUUUGGAUGUGUGACUUCUUGAUGGUCGUAGAACCCACAGCUCAAUGCUGUACUCUUCUGUCUUGACCUCAGAUCAGGUAGGGAUACCCGCUGAACUUAAGCAUAUCAAUAAGCGGAGGA
rnacentral:misc_RNA from 1 species